GCCCGAGUUGUCUAAUGGUCAUGAUAUCGCUUUCCGGAGGCGGAGGUUGCGGGUUCGAAUCCCGUCUCGGGUU
rnacentral:tRNA from 1 species